rnacentral:rRNA from 1 species
UGUGGUUUAUUAGUAUAGAGUCUAGCCUGCCCACUGAGUAUUUAAAGGGCUGCGGUAAUUUGACCGUGCAAAGGUAGCAUAAUCAGUAGUCUUUUAAUUGAAGGCUUGAAUGAACGGCUGGAUAAGGGAAAAGCUGUCUUUUUUCAAAUUAGAAUUUGACUUUUAAGUGAAAAGGCUUAAAUUAUUUAAGGGGACGAUAAGACCCUAUAAAACUUAAUAAAAGGUUUAUUUUAACUUUGAAUUAUAUUAAAAAGUUGUGAAAUUCUCUUUUUAUUUUGUUGGGGCGACAUUGAUAUAAGUUGUAACUGUCUUAAUAAUAGUAUAAUUAUCAUUAUAAAUUGAUCCUUUUUUAGGGAUAGAAAGUAUAAGUUACUUUAGGGAUAACAGCGUGAUUUUUUCUGAGAGUUCUUAUCGAAGAAAAUAGUUGCGACCUCGAUGUUGAAUUAAAAUUUCAUGCAGGUGUAGCCGCUUGCUGUGUAGGUCUGUUCGACCUUUAAAAUUUUACAUGAUUUGAGUUCAAACCGGU